rnacentral:rRNA from 1 species
UUUAGAGGAAGUAAAAGUCGUAACAAGGUCUCCGUAGGUGAACCUGCGGAGGGAUCAUUACAAGUGACCCCCGGCUCCGGCCGGGGAUGUUCAUAACCCUUUGUUGUCCGACUCUGUUGCCUCCGGGGCGACCCUGCCUUUUCACGGGCGGGGGCCCCGGGUGGACACAUCAUAACUCUUGCGUAACUUUGCAGUCUGAGUAAAUUUAAUUAAUAAAUUAAAACUUUCAACAACGGAUCUCUUGGUUCUGGCAUCGAUGAAGAACGCAGCGAAAUGCGAUAAGUAAUGUGAAUUGCAGAAUUCAGUGAAUCAUCGAAUCUUUGAACGCACAUUGCGCCCCCUGGUAUUCCGGGGGGCAUGCCUGUUCGAGCGUCAUUUGUACCCUCAAGCUUUGCUUGGUGUUGGGCGUCUUGUCUCUAGCUUUGCUGGAGACUCGCCUUAAAGUAAUUGGCAGCCGGCCUACUGGUUUCGGAGCGCAGCACAAGUCGCACUCUCUAUCAGCAAAGGUCUAGCAUCCAUUAAGCCUUUUUUUCAACUUUUGACCUCGGAUCAGGUAGGGAUACCCGCUGAACUUAAGCAUAUCAAUAAG